rnacentral:rRNA from 1 species
UACGUAGGGUCCGAGCGUUGUCCGGAAUUAUUGGGCGUAAAGCGCGCGCAGGUGGUUUCUUAAGUCUGAUGUGAAAGCCCCCGGCUCAACCGGGGAGGGUCAUUGGAAACUGGGAAACUUGAGUGCAGAAGAGGAUAGUGGAAUUCCAAGUGUAGCGGUGAAAUGCGUAGAGAUUUGGAGGAACACCAGUGGCGAAGGCGACUGUCUGGUCUGUAACUGACACUGAGGCGCGAAAGCGUGGGGAGCAAACAGG